GACGAACGCUGGCGGCGUGCUUAACACAUGCAAGUCGAACGAUGAAGCCUAGCUUGCUAGGUGGAUUAGUGGCGAACGGGUGAGUAAUACGUGAGUGACCUACCUUUGACUCUGGGAUAAGCCUGGGAAACUGGGUCUAAUACCGGAUACGACCAAUCUCCGCAUGGGGUGUUGGUGGAAAGCGUUAUGGAGUGGUUUUAGAUGGGCUCACGGCCUAUCAGCUUGUUGGGGAGGUAAUGGCUUACCAAGGCGACGACGGGUAGCCGGCCUGGGCGGGUGAGCGGCCACACUGGGACUGAGAUACGGCACAGACUCCUACGGGGGGCAGCAGUGGGGAAGAUUGCACAAUGGGCGCAAGCCUGAUGCAGCGACGCCGCGUGAGGGAUGACGGCCUUCGGGUUGUAAACCUCUGUUAGCAUCGAAGAAGAGAAAGUGACGGUAGGUGCAGAGAAAGCGCCGGCUAACUACGUG
rnacentral:rRNA from 1 species